rnacentral:rRNA from 1 species
GUGGGGAAUAUUGCACAAUGGGCGGAAGCCUGAUGCAGCGACGCCGCGUGGGGGAUGAAGGCCUUCGGGUUGUAAACUCCUUUCGACAGGGACGAAGCUUUUGUGACGGUACCUGUAUAAGAAGCACCGGCUAACUACGUGCCAGCAGCCGCGGUAAUACGUAGGGUGCGAGCGUUGUCCGGAAUUACUGGGCGUAAAGAGCUCGUAGGUGGUUUGUCGCGUCGUCUGUGAAAUUCCGGGGCUUAACUCCGGGCGUGCAGGCGAUACGGGCUGACUUGAGUGCUGUAGGGGAGACUGGAAUUCCUGGUGUAGCGGUGAAAUGCGCAGAUAUCAGGAGGAACACCGAUGGCGAAGGCAGGUCUCUGGGCAGUAACUGACGCUGAGGAGCGAAAGCAUGGGUAGCGAACAGGAUUAGAUACCCUGGUAGUCCAUGCCGUAAACGGUGGGCGCUAGGUGUAGGGGGCUUCCACGUCUUCUGUGCCGUAGCUAACGCAUUAAGCGCCCCGCCUGGGGAGUACGGCCGCAAGGCUA